rnacentral:rRNA from 1 species
GACGUUAUCGACAGAAUAAGCACCGGCUAACUUUGUGACAGCAGCCGCGGUAAUACAGAGGGUGCAAGCGUUAAUCGGAAUUACUGGGCGUAAAGCGCGCGUAGGUGGUUCGUUAAGUUGGAUGUGAAAGCCCCGGGCUCAACCUGGGAACUGCAUCCAAAACUGCGAGCUAGAGUACGGUAGAGGGUGGUGGAAUUUCCUGUGUAGCGGUGAAAUGCGUAGAUAUAGGAAGGAACACCAGUGGCGAAGGCGACCACCUGGACUGAUACUGACACUGAGGUGCGAAAGCGUGGGGAGCAAACAGGUUAGAUACCCUGGUAGUCCACGCCGUAAACGAUGUCAACUAGCCGUUGGAAUCCUUGAGAUUUUAGUGGCGCAGCUAACGCAUUAAGUUGACCGCCUGGGGAGUACGGCCGCAAGGUUAAAACUCAAAUGAAUUGACGGGGGCCCGCACAAGCGGUGGAGCAUGUGGUUUAAUUCGAAGCAACGCGAAGAACCUUACCAGGCCUUGACAUGCAGAGAACUUUCCGAGAUGGAUUGGUGCCUUCGGGAACUCUGACACAGGUGCUGCAUGGCUGUCGUCAGCUCGUGUCGUGAGUGUUGGGUUAAGUCCCGUAACGAGCGCAACCCUUGUCCUUAGUUACCAGCACGUUAUGGUGC